CACUGUCACCACCAUAACCACCAUCACCAUCAGCACCAUCGCCAGUACUUCCACUGCUGCCACCAUCACCACAACCGCCACUGCCACCACCGUCUAUCAUUAUAAACACACACUUGUGUAACCCAUAUCAUGUGUCUUUUCAGACCAUCAUUGGAACUAUAAAAUUAGGUAAGAUUUUCAGCAAUUAAGCUUGGUGUUUUUCUAUGCGUUGCAUAAUCCAGGAGUUUGAAAGGUCAUGGAAGAAAAGUGGCAACUCAGAACUGUCUUAGGGACUGGAUUUGGGCUAAACCUCUCUGUCUCCCUCUUCAAUUUGUCUUUUUGUUUUCUUUCAAAUUUCUUUCUGUGCUACUCUGCUUCUUUAAACUCAAAAGAGAACCAGACUACAAAAUGACCCACUCCGUGCCCUUCAGGUCCCAGAAAGGAGCUGGGUGUUACUUCAGCACUUCCUUUGACCCCUUUACCAUGCACCCUGCUCAGGUGUACCCCUUUGGAGUGCACAGGUGUGGCUAGGAUUUCCAAAGUUGGAGAGAUUCUCCUGCCAAACUCUGCUCAGCAACCGGCAGGGGGAAGUUAGAAGGACCAAAGCAGAGUGGCCCAAUUACCCAGUGACUGAGAAUGAUGUUGUAGGAUCACUGCAGUGGGCAGAUCUCACUUCAUGAAUUCACUGGUCUGCUCUGAUUUGGGCGUGAGGCUCCAGGGCUCUGGGAGUAGCGUCCAGAGUGGGCUUUCUUUAGAGAUGAUUCCCAUUGCCCACUGAGCUGCGGAGACUGAGUUUCUGUUGCAGUCUCUGGCUUAUGUGGGAGAGAUGGCAUCUUGGGCCAUUGCCCAUGGCCUAUGUAGUUUUAGCAACACUUUGCAAGGCCUCCAGGAGUUUGUGUCUUUAAACACUCCUGCUGGCUGAGGUAAUGGUGGAGAGCGGAGAGAUUCUGGCCCAAAGCUAAAGCCCGAGGGCUUUACCCCCCCAACCCGCCCAAAUAUUAACAAAACAGGGAUGUUAUUAAAUUACCAAUCCUGGCUCCAAUUGAAUAUUUGCCAAGAAUUCCAUGCUUCCACCUCACAUAAUACACUUUACUUUUCUUUUGGGGAUUUGUUUUCUGAAUCAGUUUACUUCUUUGUGGUCCAAUAAUCACCAAAUAGAAUUCUCUCCAUCUUUCAUCCUUCAUCAUUAGGGGAAAAAUACAGUAUCAUUUUCCGCCAAGAAAUAAAUAUCUCAAAAUGAAAGACAAUAUUUAGUGACCAAAAAAAAAAAAUCCCUCGAGUGUCCUACUUUUCUGAUGAAUCAGAACUGGAAGUGAUUAAAGGCUCAGUGCGUUCAAACAAUGAGCACUCAUGUCCAUUCCUCCAUUUUCAUAAGAAAAUCAAACAUCCUCUUUUAAGCAAGUGGGGGGCUGCUUACCAAAUCUUUUAAGUGAGCUGUAGAUAAGUGCAUUGGCAUGGUUUGAGGAAAUGCAUAGAGGAUAUUAAAAAUAUUUAUUUUAUUGAACUAAUAUUCCCUGCUGGAGAUUAAAGUAGCAAAUUGAGCCCACAACUGUAAGACAGAUACUAUUUAGCAAUUUAGUUUCUAUUUAUUUAGUUCCUAACUGUCAACUUGAACUUGAGUAGUUUUAAAUUGCAACUUACUAAAUGCUUAUAAGAAUGUUCCUUGAAUAUAAAGUGGAGUUGUCUCAGAUUGUAUUUUCAGAUAAAAAUAUACUUAGUCUGAUUUUGUUUGAAUUAGUGGAUUUUUUUGUACAUUGAGAAUUUGAAUUUCCUGAGAAUCUUUAGAUUGACUACAGUUUUGGUAUGUUGAAGGGAAUUGUGAUUUUAAAAUCAUUUAUUUUGAUCAUGCUAGUUUGAAAGUUUCUUAUGCCAUUUUAUAAUGUAUUUCAUAAGAAGACUUUUUAAAGGCAUUAUUUAGAAAUCAGGGCUAGCUGUUUUCAUUUUAGGCUGCUACCGCUUAGCUAUUUGAAUCAGAGAAUACUGUUUAGGCUUGACUGCAGUCAGUUUAAUCAUCAGUAUCUUCUUCAUGGAUUUACACUGUAGGACUUAAUUUUUAUUUUAUAUUUACAAAGGAAGGGAUAUCUGGAAUGCAGACAUAUUACAUUGAGAUAGUCAUGUUUUGCUCAGGAGGCAGAUAAAGCUACAAUAGUUGAGUUUCAAUGAGUAGUUACUGUGUUCCAGGCAAUAGAGUAAAGAAUUGUGUGUCCAUUAUUUCGUGUGGAGACAGUCACUAUUUUGCAGUAACUAUAAUUAUCAUCAUUUUACAGGUGUGGAAACUGACAACUCAAAGGUGAUACCUAACUUUUCUUCAGGCCCCAAGCUGGCAGGUGGCAGAACUGGGGUGCUUCUGAGAUGUCAGCUUUGUGGGAAUUCCACACAUGGAAGAUUGCCAGGAGCAGAAGCAUGUGACUCGAUGUCUUUUCCUGGAGUGGACACAUCCUGUAACCACCUCCCUAGGACAAGAAAGAGGAUACGGCCAACUUUCCCCGCUGCCCCGUGAAAUGCCCUCACAGACACACCCAGAAAUAAUGUUUUACCA